GGCCGACUAGCUCAGCUGGUUAGAGCGUCGUGCUAAUAUCAGUACAACUGUUGCUAUAUUAACGCGAAGGUCUUGGGUUCGAUCCCCACGUUGGCCA
rnacentral:tRNA from 1 species